UACGGAGGGGGCUAGCGUUGUUCGGAAUUACUGGGCGUAAAGCGCACGUAGGCGGACUGUUAAGUCGGGGGUGAAAUCCUGGGGCUCAACCUCAGAAUUGCCUCCGAUACUGGCAGUCUCGAGUGCGGGAGAGGUGAGUGGAAUUCCCAGUGUAGAGGUGAAAAUUCGUAGAUAUUGGGAAGAACACCAGUGGCGAAGGCGGCUCACUGGCCCGUAACUGACGCUGAGGUGCGGAAAGCGUGGGGAGCAAACAGGG
rnacentral:rRNA from 1 species